rfam:Culex pipiens quinquefasciatus supercont3.250 genomic scaffold, whole genome shotgun sequence.
GGAUCCGUGGCUUAAUGGUUACGGCUUCUGCCUCACAAGCAGAAGGUUCAGGGAUCAAAUCCCGGUCGGUACCU